GGGGUUAAAAUUAAUAAAUGGUGUUAAUUAAUAAAAGAAAUUUUAAUAUUAAAAUAUUUAAUGGGGGUUAAAGUAAUUUUAAUAGAAAAAAUUUGAAAUUUUAUAGUUAAUAAGUAUUGUAAAAGAAAUUUGAAAUAAAUUUAAAAUAAAUUUUUAUAAAAGUAAAUUUAAUUUGUUGUAUCUUGUGUAUCAGAGUUUAUUAAAAAUUUUUUAUAUAUAUAUAAAUUUCUCGAAUUUAAAAGAGUUAAUUAAUUAUUAAAUUUAUUGUUUCAUAAAUAUUUUAAAUAAUUAAUUGGAAAUGAAAUGUUAUUCGUUUUUAAAUAUAUCUAGUUUUUUAAGAAAAAAAUUUAAUUUUUAAUUAAUUUUAAAAAUUAAUUAAUUAAAAUUAAUUAAUUUUUAAAAUUAAUUUAAUAUUUUAAGGGAUAAGCUUUAAAUUAAAUUUUUAUAAUUAAUUUAAUUAAUAAAUUUGAAAAUUUUAUAAUUUAUAUUGUUAAAUAAAUUUUAGUUUAUUAUAAAUAAUUUCAUAAAAUUUAAAAAUUUAAUUAAAUAAUUUAAAAUUUUAUUAAAAAAUAUUUUUAAAUGAGUUAUAUUUAGUUAUAAUGAUAAAAUUAGUAUAUAAUAUUUUUAAAAAUAUAUUAAAUUUAAAAUUAUGAUAAUUAUUUUAAAGGAAUUCGACAAAAGUUUAUAUUCACCUGUUUAUCAAAAACAUGUCUUUUUGUUAAUAAUUUAAAGUCUAAUCUGCCCACUGAUUUUUAAUUAAAGGGCUGCAGUAUAUUGACUGUACAAAGGUAGCAUAAUCAAUAGUCUCUUAAUUGGUGACUUGUAUGAAAGAUUGGAUGAAAUAUAAAUUGUCUCUAAUAUAUAUAUAUUGAAUUUAAUUUUUUAUUUAAAAAGUUAAAAUAAUUUAAAAAGACGAGAAGACCCUAUAGAGUUUUAUAUUUAUUUAAUUUUAAAUUAUAAUUUAAUUUAUUUUAAAUUUAGAUUUAAUUAAAUAUUUUGUUGGGGUGACAAAAAAAUUAAUAAAACUUUUUUUAAAUUUUAAUCAUUAAUAUAUGAAUUAUUGAUCCAAUUAUUAUUGAUUAUAAGAAAAAAUUACCUUAGGGAUAACAGCGUAAUUUUUUUUUUUAGUACUUAUAAGAAAAAGAGUUUGCGACCUCGAUGUUGGAUUAAGAUAAAAUUUAAAUGCAAAAGUUUAAAAUUUUUGAUCUGUUCGAUCAUUAAAAUCUUACAUGAUCUGAGUUCAAACCGGUGUAAGCCAGGUUGGUUUCUAUCUUUUAAUGUUUUUAAUAUUUUAGUACGAAAGGAUUAAAUAUUAUAAUUAAAUUAAUUAUUUUGAAUUUUAUUAAUAUUUAUUGAAUUUGUUU
rnacentral:rRNA from 1 species